rnacentral:rRNA from 1 species
GACGAACGCUGGCGGCGUGCUUAACACAUGCAAGUCGAGCGGUAAGGCCCCUUCGGGGGUACACGAGCGGCGAACGGGUGAGUAACACGUGAGCAAUCUGCCCUUCACACGGGGAUAACUUCGGGAAACCGGAGCUAAUACCCGAUACGACCACCUCGGGCAUCCGAUGGUGGUGGAAAGCUCCGGCGGUGAAGGAUGAGCUCGCGGCCUAUCAGCUUGUUGGUGGGGUAACGGCCCACCAAGGCAACGACGGGUAGCCGGCCUGAGAGGGUGAUCGGCCACACUGGGACUGAGACACGGCCCAGACUCCUACGGGAGGCAGCAGUGGGGAAUAUUGGACAAUGGGCGAAAGCCUGAUCCAGCAACGCCGCGUGAGGGAUGACGGCCUUCGGGUUGUAAACCUCUUUCAGCAGGGACGAAGCGCAAGUGACGGUACCUGCAGAAGAAGCACCGGCCAACUACGUGCCAGCAGCCGCCGUAA